ACGGGUGAGUAACGCGUGGGUAACCUACCCUGUACACACGGAUAACAUACCGAAAGGUAUGCUAAUACGGGAUAAUAUAUUUGAGAGGCAUCUCUUAAAUAUCAAAGGUGAGCCAGUACAGGAUGGACCCGCGUCUGAUUAGCUAGUUGGUAAGGUAACGGCUUACCAAGGCGACGAUCAGUAGCCGACCUGAGAGGGUGAUCGGCCACAUUGGAACUGAGACACGGCCCAAACUCCUACGGGAGGCAGCAGUGGGGAAUAUUGCACAAUGGGCGAAAGCCUGAUGCAGCAACGCCGCGUGAGUGAUGAAGGCCUUCGGGUCGUAAAACUCUGUCCUCAAGGAAGAUAAUGACGGUACUUGAGGAGGAAGCCCCGGCUAACUACGUGCCAGCAGCCGCGGUAAUACGUAGGGGGCUAGCGUUAUCCGGAUUUACUGGGCGUAAAGGGUGCGUAGGCGGUCUUUCAAGUCAGGAGUGAAAGGCUACGGCUCAACCGUAGUAAGCUCUUGAAACUGGGAGACUUGAGUGCAGGAGAGGAGAGUGGAAUUCCUAGUGUAGCGGUGAAAUGCGUAGAUAUUAGGAGGAACACCAGUUGCGAAGGCGGCUCUCUGGACUGUAACUGACGCUGAGGCACGAAAGCGUGGGGAGCAAACAGGAUUAGAUACCCUGGUAGUCCACGCUGUAAA
rnacentral:rRNA from 1 species